rnacentral:rRNA from 1 species
GCAGGCUGCAACCCGCCUGCAUGAAGUUGGAAUCGCUAGUAAUCGCGGAUCAGCAUGCCGCGGUGAAUACGUUCCCGGGCCUUGUACACACCGCCCGUCACACCAUGAGAGUCGGGAACACCCGAAGUCGGUAGUCUAACCGCAAGGAGGACGCCGCCGAAGGUGGGGUUGAUGAUUAGGGUUAAGUCGUAACAAGGUAAC